GACGAACGCUGGCGGCGUGCCUAAUACAUGCAAGUAGAACGCACAGUUUAUACCGUAGCUUGCUACACCAUAGACUGUGAGUUGCGAACGGGUGAGUAACGCGUAGGUAACCUGCCUGGUAGCGGGGGAUAACUAUUGGAAACGAUAGCUAAUACCGCAUAAUAUUAAUUAUUGCAUGAUAAUUGAUUGAAAGAUGCAACUGCAUCACUACCAGAUGGACCUGCGUUGUAUUAGCUAGUAGGUGAGGUAACGGCUCACCUAGGCGACGAUACAUAGCCGACCUGAGAGGGUGAUCGGCCACACUGGGACUGAGACACGGCCCAGACUCCUACGGGAGGCAGCAGUAGGGAAUCUUCGGCAAUGGACGAAAGUCUGACCGAGCAACGCCGCGUGAGGGAAGAAGGUUUUCGGAUCGUAAAGCUCUGUUGUAAGAGAAGAACGGGUGUGAGAGUGGAAAGUUCACACUGUGACGGUAUCUUACCAGAAAGGGACGGCUAACUACGUG
rnacentral:rRNA from 1 species